rnacentral:rRNA from 1 species
UACACUCCUGCGGGAGGCAGCAGUGGGGAAUAUUGGACAAUGGGCGCAAGCCUGAUCCAGCCAUGCCGCGUGAGUGAUGAAGGCCCUAGGGUUGUAAAGCUCUUUCACCGGUGAAGAUAAUGACGGUAACCGGAGAAGAAGCCCCGGCUAACUUCGUGCCAGCAGCCGCGGUAAUACGAAGGGGGCUAGCGUUGUUCGGAUUUACUGGGCGUAAAGCGCACGUAGGCGGGCUAUUAAGUCAGGGGUGAAAUCCCGGGGCUCAACCCCGGAACUGCCUUUGAUACUGGUAGUCUUGAGUUCGAGAGAGGUGAGUGGAAUUCCGAGUGUAGAGGUGAAAUUCGUAGAUAUUCGGAGGAACACCAGUGGCGAAGGCGGCUCACUGGCUCGAUACUGACGCUGAGGUGCGAAAGCGUGGGGAGCAAACAGGAUUAGAAACCCCAGUAGUCCCAUGA